rnacentral:rRNA from 1 species
GACGUAGGGCGCGAGCGUUGUCCGGAUUUAUUGGGCGUAAAGAGCUCGUAGGCGGCUUGUCGCGUCGACUGUGAAAUCCCGCGGCUCAACCGCGGGUCUGCAGUCGAUACGGGCAGGCUAGAGUUCGGUAGGGGAGACUGGAAUUCCUGGUGUAGCGGUGAAAUGCGCAGAUAUCAGGAGGAACACCGAUGGCGAAGGCAGGUCUCUGGGCCGAUACUGACGCUGAGGAGCGAAAGCGUGGGAGCAAACAGG